GGGUCUGUAGCUCAGUUGGUUAGAGCGCCACGUUGACAUCGUGGAGGUCUCCAGUUCAAAUCUGGACAGACCCA
rnacentral:tRNA from 1 species